rnacentral:tmRNA from 1 species
GGGGGCGAAAAGGGUUCGACGGAGGUAAAGAAGCUCAAGCUGCAUGCCGGGGUCUGCCCGCCCGUAAAACGGACAGGCUUAAAGACAAACGCAGACGAUUAUGCGUAUGCCGUAGCCGCUUAAAGCGGCUACCGUUCCUCCGGUCAGCGCCUGGGUAGCCGGAUGGAGCGUCGACUCACCGGGCUAGUCUUCGGAACGGUGCUUCCAGUUCCGCGGGCGAAGCGUGAGGAAGCUGGCUUCGAGAGCAUCCGGCCACGGGGAGGCUCGAGAAGCGAGAACCAAAACCGCGGCUAAGCAUGUAGAUGCUUGUGCGGAAUGCCUUCGGACGCGGGUUCGAUUCCCGCCGCCUCCACCA